rnacentral:sRNA from 1 species
GCUCUAAAAAUGAGAGACAACUACUUGGAUUAACAGAGGGUGGUGAAGUGAAUAAGAUAAUCCAAGUAUGUAUAUGGUAGCCAUGAGUUCACAAACAAUGCAUAGAUAUGAUAAUUGCAAAUUCAGUUCAGGUUCUAAUAGAUAGGGAAUGGCAUCAGAUAAGCGAGUUUCGAAUCAAAGUAGUAUAGUCAAGUUACAAAUUCAAAGCAGGGUGCAGUCUUACUUCAGAGAUACAAUCGGUUAUGCAACAGAGAACUAACAACCUGGGCAUUGAACUUACUUCAUUGAAUCAAAACAUGCUUAUCGGUUUGAAAUCAUCAUUAUCCCCUAUGCAAAUGAGCAAUCCUAAAUGCAAGGACACUAUAUACAAUCCUAAAAUGAAAUGCAAUCUACAUGACACUCUGUUUAUGUGAAAUCAUUUUCUGAAAAAAUUUCA